rnacentral:tRNA from 1 species
GGGGUUGUGGCUCAGUGGUAGAGCGCUUGCCUAGCAUGUAUGAGGCACUGGGUUUGAUCCUCAGCACCA